rnacentral:rRNA from 1 species
UGAGUACGAGAUGCUACGGCGUCGAAGCAGUCUAUGUCAUACUUCCAAGAAAAGCUUGCACUGUCAUAAACAAAGAAUGCCUGUACCAUAACCGACACAGGUGGGUAGGUAGAGUAUACUAAGGGGCGCGAGAUAACUCUCUCUAAGGAACUCGGCAAAAUGACUCCGUAACUUCGGGAGAAGGAGUGCCUUAUUUUUAAGGUUGCAAUAACAAGAUCCAAGCAACUGUUUACCAAAAACACAGGUCUCCGCUAAGUCGUAAGACGAUGUAUGGGGGCUGACGCCUGCCCAGUGCCAGAAGGUUAAAGAAGUUGGUUAGCAUUCGCGAAGCUGAUAACUGAAGCCCUGGUGAACGGCGGCCGUAACAAUAACGGUCCUAAGGUAGCGAAAUUCCUUGUCGGGUAAGUUCCGACCCGCACGAAAGGCGUAAUGAUUUGGAUACUGUCUCGGAGAGGGGCUCGGUGAAAUAGACUUGUCUGUGAAGAUGCGGACUACCUGCACCUGGACAGAAAGACCCUAUGAAGCUUUACUGUAACUUGAGAUUGAAAUUGGACUUUAUUUGCGCUGUAUAGGUGGGAGGCGUUGAGAAUAAUCUUGCGGGAUUAUGGGAGCCAUCAGUGAGAUACCACUCUUGUAAUGUUAGAUUUCUAACUUUGUAUCAUUAUCUGGUCAAAGAACAGUUUCAGGCGGGCAGUUUGACUGGGGCGGUCGCCUCCCAAAGGGUAACGGAGGCGCACAAAGGUUUCCUCUGAACGGGUAGAAAUCGUAUCUAGAGUGUAAAGGCAUAAGGAAGCUUGACUGUGAGACCUACAAGUCGAGCAGGGACGAAAGUCGGUCUUAGUGAUCUGACGGUGCUGAGUGGAAAGGCCGUCACUCAACGGAUAAAAGUUACUCUAAGGAUAACAGGCUGAUCUCCCCCAAGAGUUCACAUCGACGGGGAGGUUUGGCACCUCGAUGUCGGCUCAUCGCAUCCUGGGGCGGUAGUACGUCCCAAGGGUUGGGCUGUUCGCCCAUGAAAGCGGUACGCGAGCUGGGUUCAGAACGUCGUGAGACAGUUCGGUCCAUAUCCGGUGUAGGCGUUAGAAUAUUGAAAGGAGCCUUCUCUAGUACGAGAGGACCGAGAAGGACAUACCUCUGGUGUACCAGUUAUCGUGCCAACGGUAAACGCUGGGUAGCUAUGUAUGGAGUGGAUAACCGCUGAAAGCAUCUAAGUGGGAAGCCCACCUUAAGAUAAGUAUUCUC